rnacentral:rRNA from 1 species
GACGUAGGAGGCGAGCGUUGUCCGGAAUUACUGGGCGUAAAGAGCGCGUAGGCGGCGCCAUACGACAGGGGUCAAAGCCCCCGGCUCAACCGGGGAGAUGCUCCUGUAACGGUGGUGCUCGGAGUCUGGGAGAGGGACGUGGAACUCCACGAGUAGCGGUGAAAUGUGUAGAGACGUGGAGGAACACCAGUGGCGAAGGCGGCGUCCUGGCCUAGAACUGACGCUGAGGCGCGAAAGCUAGGGGAGCAAACGGGAUUAGAUACCCCGGUAGUCCUAGCCGUAAACGAUGGACACUAGGUGUGCGUGGUAUCGACCCCACGCGUGCCGGCGCUCACGCAGGAAGUGUCCCGCCUGGGGAGUACGGCCGCAAGGCUAAA